ensembl:lncRNA
CUAAAGUGAAAGUUGCUUAUGCUGUCAAUGGAGUGACAGAAACCUCUUGACUUUCAUUUAAAAUAUCUUCAAUUGUAUUCUGAGAAUGAACAAAAGUUUUAGGGGAUUGGAACAACAUGAGGGUGAGCAAAUUAAAGACAUAAUUUUAAUUUUUUGGGUCAACUAUCCCUUUAAGUUGCAGUAGAUUUCAAGUGUUAUUUGAUUUGAUUUUGCAUACGAUUAAUAUAGGGAGAGAUGUGUUAGUGUUUAAAGUUCUGUUAUGUUGGAAUUUACAUGGGUUUCUGUUAUGUUAAAGUUUUGUAGAGUUACCAUUGUGGUGAAAAGUAGAGCCUGUGGUUAGGUCGAAGACGAGCUAUAAAACCUUUAUCCUGUAUGUGCACAGUAAUGUAUUUUUUGAUAGCUACCAUAAUACAUGCUGUAGUGUGGUUGAAAUAUAGCAUUAACUCCUUAAGGACGCAGUAUAAAUUUUACAAUGUGAAAAAAGUUCUGUUUAUUUAUUGAGGUAAUUAUUUAAAAAAAGUUAAUUUACUAAUGUUUUGCAUAUUCUGAACAUAUAAGGGUUUACAGUGUAAAGUAAAGGUUCAUAUACAUGUUGCAGUGCACACGGCUGUGAGUGUGGUGUCGUGACUACAUUCAUCUUCAUAAAAAGACUGUGGGCUGAUGUGUUACUUCCUAAUUCAUCCAUUGUGUGAGUCUCGUCUCUUCUCUCACUCUCGCUGUAAUGGAGUUGUUCAUCUUCAUAGUGUUUCAGCUCCUGAUGGAGGUUCAGUCUUACAAUUCACUUCCGAAACCCUUCAUCAGUGUUAGUGGAGAUGAUGUCCAGCUCUUCAUAUCAUGUGAAAUACCACUUUCAGUCAGAGCUGAUUUCAACUGUAGUCUCUACACUGAGGAUGAUGUUCUUCUGUAUCAACGUGUCUCUCAGUGGAGUCAGUCUGCAAAGAAUCAUUGUAUGUUUUAUGUAAGUCGUAGUGAACUCUUGACACGAUCAGUGAACAGUAGACAGCUGAUCUGUGUUUAUUCACGCAAGACUGAACCUGAGAUCAGAUCACCACACAGUGACACAUACACCUUCAGAGACACAAGCACCGUUAGAGACACAAGCAUGGUCAGAGCUUCAACACCAACCACCACUAAACAUACGACUACAACAACAGCCAUGAAAACCUUAGAUGUCCAAUCCAAGACAAGCCUGCCAACCAGCAAAGCACAGAAAACCCAGACUUCAACACCAACCACCACUAAACAUACGACUACAACAACAGCCAUGAAAACCUUAGGUGUCCAAUCCAAGACAAGCCCGCCAACCAGAAAAGCAAAGAAAACCCAGACAGCAUUAAAUGUAAUGUCCACUUCUGAAACAACAACAUACAGUGGAACUGUAGACUUUCAAUCUAAAUCAAACCUGCCAACCAACACAGCAACGGAAACCAUGGAACUAUGGUAUAUAGUGCUGGGUUCUACUGGCGUUGCUGUAAUUUUGUCUGGACUCAUCUGUUUCUGUCGGUUUGCAAGUAAAAAAAGAAGAAAACUAAACAAAACAAGAUCAAACAAACCUGAUGUGACCAGUCAAGAGAUUGGUAUGAGUUGUUCUGGACCUGCAGAGACAUACUGUCUGAUCACGUCUGUACCAUCCACAUCUCAGCCCAUAUCUGAAGGCCUCGAACAGGACAGCACAGCAGAUCCCAAAGACAGUUACUCUUUCAUUACUUCUGUCAAUUCAAUUUACCAUUCCCCAGAUGUUUUGGUUAAUAAACAACAGAAACAGGGAAAUACAGAGGAAAAUGAGAAUGUUUAUCACCUGUACUGCACAAUCCCUGACAAACCAGUUAACUCAAACACAGAAGAUCACGUGUACAGUUUGGUGAAGAUGCACUGAUGAAUCUCUGAUUUCAUCAUGUACAGCCAUUAAAGUAUCUUUACUUGCACACAAAUAGGUGUUUAUUUACAUUAUUCAGUGUUUGGUAUGAACUAUACUGUGACCUCAGUGAAUAUCCAGAGCAUCUUCUCUGGCAAGCCUCACUAGAGCAAUACUUCAUUGUAAGAAGAGCUUGGGCAUUCAAUAAGAGCUGAACUAAAAAUCUAACGAUAAUGGAAUUUGAACCAUAUGAAGAUUUGAACUAAAUAUUUUUUUCUUCUUAGUAUUCUGUAUUACUAAAAAAAAAAAAAAAUCUAUGUUUAGAUUAGUUUUUAUCUUUAGAUUAGUUUUUAACUUCUCCUUCCACAAAACCCAGCUGAUUACAUCAGCGAUGACAGAGAAAAUGACUUGCAUCCUGUUUUUAGUGAAUCAUUUUAGCUUUAAAAAAAUAGGCUUUUUUAUAUUACCUUAUUUUUUCUGAGAACUGUGAUCCUUCCCUCACGCUGCUGUGCAGGUCAAAUGGGCAUCUGAUGUUCCAAGCAAAAGACACAAGCACUUACUGACACCACUGAUGAUAUCACUGAGUUUCCACACAUUUACAAUGUUUUUAAUUUUUUUUAUUUUUACAUUUUUUUAUUUUGAUGUUUCAGUAAUUUUGAAUGGAUCCAUAUAGUAUAUACAGUCAGGUCAAGGCUGCUGGUAUAGUCAAAAGGGCAUCUGAUGUUCCAAGCAAAAGACACAAGCACUUACUUACACCACGGAUGAUAUCACUGAGUUUCCACACAUUUACAAUGUUUUUAUUUUAUU